UACAUUUUGGUGUAUGGUGCACAGGAAUUUUUGAUAUUCCGGGAGAUAGUUUAAUUCUAUUAAAUGUAA
rnacentral:tRNA from 1 species